rnacentral:rRNA from 1 species
ACGCUCGACACCUACGGGAGCAGCAGUCGGGAAUAUUGCGCAAUGGAGGAAACUCUGACGCAGUGACGCCGCGUAUAGGAAGAAGGUUUUCGGAUUGUAAACUAUUGUCGUUAGGGAAGAAAAAGGACAGUACCUAAGGAGGAAGCUCCGGCUAACUACGUGCCACAGCCGCGGUAAUCUGAGCGGGCUGGCAAGGC